rnacentral:rRNA from 1 species
GCUUGUCAUUUGCUGGAAGGAAUGCAUUUAUUAGAUAAAAAUCAACGGGUAUUUAUACUCUUGAUGAUUCAUAAUAACUAAGCGGAUCACUCCUAGUGAGUGACAAAUCGUUCGAUUUUCCGCCCUAUCAACUUGUUAGUAGUGUAGUGGACUACUAAGGUUACAACGGGUACGGAGGAUUAGGGUUCGAUCCCGGAGAGGCAGCCUGAGAAACGGCUACCACAUCUAUGGAUGGCAGCAGGCGCGAAAAUUACCCAAUUUCGACAUGAAGAGGUAGUAACAAAAAAUAACAACUCCGAGACAUUACUGUUUUGGAUAGGAAUGACAGAGUUCUAAAAACCCUUUCAAAUGCAAUUGGAGGGCAAGUCUGGUGCCAGCAGCCGCGGUAAUACCAGCUCCAAGAGUGUAUCUUAAUAUUGUUGUGAUUAAAACGCUCGUAGUUGAAUUUCAGAGUGAUUAUAGUAUAAUAGCUUUGCUAUAUAACUAUAUAUCACCCUUUAUCGUUUCUGAAUACACUUAUUUCAUUCAGUUGAUUUAUUUGGAUUUAGAACAUUUACUUUGAGCAAAUUCGAGUGCUUCAAGCAGGCUUAACGCCUUGAAGACAUUAGCAUGGUAUAAUAACAUAGACCCUUUAUCUAUUUUGUUGAUUUAGAUUUAGGGUAAUUGAUUAAUAGAAACGGAUCGGUGUCAUUCGUAUUUCAUUGUCAGAGGUGGAAUUCUUAGAUUUAUGAAAGACGAACUUCUGCGAAAGCAUUUGACAAGGACGUAUUCAUUAAUCAAGAACGAAAGUUAGGGUAUCGAAGCCGAUUAGAGACCGACGUAGUCCUAACCAUAAACUAUGCCGACUGGAGAUUUGAAGACUCCUCUAUUAGGAUCUUUGAGCAUCCUAUGAGAAAUCUAAGUUAUUAGGCUUCAGGGGGAGUAUGGUCGCAAGGCUGAAACUUAAAGAAAUUGACGGAGAGGCACACAAGGCGUGGAUGCUGCGGUUUAAUUUGACUCAACACGGGAAAGCCUACCGGUGCACGACGUUAUGAGGAUUGCCAGGUUGAAGUCCUUGCAUGAUUUUUCGGAUGGUGGUGCAUGGCCGCUCUUAGUUGGUGGUGUGAAUUGUCAGGUCAAUUCCGAUAACGAACGAGAUCUCCAUCCUAAAAUAGAUUUGUUAAUACAUGUAUUAAUAUAAAAAUCUUCUUUAGGAGACUCAUUAUGGAAAUAAUGGGAAGCUGGAGGCAAUAGCAGGUCUGUAUGCCCCUAGAUGUACCGGGUUACACGCGUCAUACAAUGGUCUUAACAAAAAGCAAUUACCCUUAAUCGAAAGAUUUGGGAAAUCUUCAAAAUGAGACCGUAUCUUGGAUAGCGGAUUGCAACUACUUCCCUUGAAAUAGGAAUGCCUUGUAAUUGUAGUUCAUUAAACUACAAUGAAUAAGUCCCUGCCUCUUGUACACACCGCCCGUCGCUCCCUCUGAUUGGAUGAUAAGGUGAAGCGAACGGACUGUCUCUAUAGUAUAGCACCUCUUAGCGGUUGUGUUUUCUAUUGUAGAUGGAAAGUUAACUGAAUCUUGUUAUCUAGAAGAAGGAGAAGUCGUAACAAGGUU